GAUGGAUGUUUAAGUCAGUUUGGAAAGUGGGCGGCGCAACCGUAAAAGUGCAGGUGAUACUGGAGAUCUUGAGUGCAGGUGAGGCAGGCGGAAUUCGUGGUGUAGCGGUGAAAUGCUUAGAUAUCACGAAGAACUCCGAUUGCGAAGGCAGCCUGCUAAGCUGCAACUGACAUUGAGGCUCGAAAGUGUGGGUAUCAAA
rnacentral:rRNA from 1 species